GUUGACCUCGGAUCAGGUAGGGAUACCCGCUGAACUUAAGCAUAUCAAUAAGCGGAGGAAAAGAAACCAACAGGGAUUACCUCAGUAACGGCGAGUGAAGCGGUAACAGCUCAAAUUUGAAAUCUGGGUCUUUCAGGCUCCGAGUUGUAAUUUGUAGAAGAUGCUUCGGGUGCGGCUCCGGUCUAAGUUCCUUGGAACAGGACGUCAUAGAGGGUGAGAAUCCCGUAUGUGAUCGGUUGCUUGCGCCCAUGUGAAGCUCUUUCGACGAGUCGAGUUGUUUGGGAAUGCAGCUCAAAAUGGGUGGUAAAUUUCAUCUAAAGCUAAAUAUUGGCCAGAGACCGAUAGCGCACAAGUAGAGUGAUCGAAAGAUGAAAAGCACUUUGGAAAGAGAGUUAAACAGUACGUGAAAUUGUUGAAAGGGAAGCGCUUGCAACCAGACUUGCGCGUUGCCGAUCAUCCGGGGUUCUCCCCGGUGCACUCGGCUUCGCUCAGGCCAGCAUCGGUUUCGGUGGUGGGAUAAAGGCCUUGGGAAUGUAGCUUCUUUCGGGGAGUGUUAUAGCCCUCGGUGCAAUGCCGCCUACCGGGACCGAGGACCGCGCUUCGGCUAGGAUGCUGGCGUAAUGGUUGUAAGCGACCCGUCUUGAAACACGGACCAAGGAGUCUAACAUCUAUGCGAGUGUUUGGGUGUCAAACCCAUACGCGUAAUGAAAGUGAACGGAGGUGAGAACCCUUAAGGGUGCAUCAUCGACCGAUCCUGAUGUCUUCGGAUGGAUUUGAGUAAGAGCAUAGCUGUUGGGACCCGAAAGAUGGUGAACUAUGCCUGAAUAGGGUGAAGCCAGAGGAAACUCUGGUGGAGGCUCGCAGCGGUUCUGACGUGCAAAUCGAUCGUCAAAUUUGGGUAUAGGGGCGAAAGACUAAUCGAACCAUCUAGUAGCUGGUUCCUGC
rnacentral:rRNA from 1 species